UAGGGGCGAAAGACUAAUC
rnacentral:ncRNA from 2 species